CGGCACAUAGCACAUGCGGAGCUGUAGCAUCAGACAUUUGCAGCUGACUCGUUCAUCUCAUAUGGCGGGGCUCCGCCUUCAAUCCGUCCCCCGCCCGCUACUGCAGGAGUCCGCUCUAUUCAUGAAGAAUUUCAUAUCAACAGCACCUCUCCCACAACAAUGGGCCUCCACACUGCGCUAACGUGCUAAUAUCAAGCUUUUUACAACCUUCAAAUAUGAAUCAUGCAUCUGAUAUUUCUUCCAAAUCUGCUUGCGAGCAUCCUUCUGGCCUGGCUCAAUCCAUUCGGUUUAGCGUCAAAUGUGUACACGGAAAUAGAGAAUGAGGCUGUUAGAGACGCAGUGUCGGCGGAUCUUGAGGUGGAUACAGCUUCAGCACCGGACAGCGACAAUGUAACGCGCCGAACGGCCGAGCAUGAGAUUACAUACCCCUCUAGGCUUAUCUACUAUCUUAAUGAGGAUUCUGAGAGCACCUACCAUGACCUGGACACUCGGACACGGAACCAGGUCACUGGAAACCAGGCGGUGCAUCUUGCGCAAACCAGUUUUCAGCUUGAAGGUUUUGGUUCCAGAUUCAUUCUGGAUUUGACGUUAAACAAUGACUUAUUGUCUUCUGACUAUGUGGAAAUCCACUAUGAAGAGGGCAAACCAGUUCUUUCAAAGGGUGGGGAACAUUGUUACUACCAUGGACAGGUGAGAGGAACGGAGAACUCACGGGUGGCCCUGUCUACAUGCAAUGGGCUCCAUGGAAUGAUGGACGAUGGACACUAUGUGUACCUUAUCGAGCCUCUGCAACAGACUCAUUCUGCAGACACAGGAGCAAGGCCUCACAUAAUGCGCAGGACUCCCUCUCAGCAGUGGACAGAGGAUCAGGACGAGGACCUGGCUGAGGAAGAGCAGAUACUCUCCGAUCUGGGAGACAUGUCAUGGCUGAGGCGCAGAAAAAAGCGAGCGAUGCCACGCAGUGUGUUUGAGGAGAUGAAAUAUUUGGAGAUCAUGAUUGUCAGCGAUCAUAGCAUGUUUAAAAGACACAAGACCAAGAGGCACACCAAGAACUUUGCCAAAUCAGUUGUCAACCUGGUGGAUGCUGUCUUUAAGGACCAGCUGUUCACGCGAGUGGUCCUGGUCGCCGUGGAGAUCUGGACGGACAAAAACCGCAUCCCCGCCAGCGUGCAGCCCCUGGACAUGCUGCGCGACUUCUCCAAGUACCGCCAGCACAGCAUCAAGCAGCGCGCUGACGCUGUGCACCUCUUCUCGAAUGUGGCGUUUCGGUACCACAGGAGCAGCGUGGCUUAUUUUGGGGGUGUUUGCUCAGUGAAUCGAGGAGUCGGGGUCAAUGAGUAUGGCACUACGUGGUCGAUGGCAUCCUUUCUGUCUCAGAGUCUGGCACAGAACCUAGGCAUCCAGUGGGACCCUUCACCCAGGAGAAAAGAGUGCAGCUGUUUGGAUUCAUUUGACGGCUGCAUAAUGGAGGACAAUGGAGUGCUGCACCCACGCAAGUUCUCCCGCUGCAGCAUCUCUGACUAUAAGGAGUUCCUGUUAAAGGGUGGAGGAUCGUGCCUGUUCAACAAGCCAUCAAAGCUGUUCGAGACCACAGAGUGUGGUAACGGUUACGUGGAGGUGGGGGAAGAGUGUGACUGUGGUGGCAAAGCGGAGUGCUACAAGGAGUGCUGUAAAAAAUGCUCUCUGUCAAAUGGUGCUCACUGCAGCGAUGGGCCUUGUUGCAACAACACCUGCCUGUUCUACCCACGAGGGUACAGUUGUCGCUACUCAGUGAAUGACUGUGACAUUUCAGAGACUUGCUCAGGCGACUCAGGGCAGUGUCCUCCCAAUCUGCAUAAGCAAGAUGGCUACUUCUGUCAGCUCAAUCAGGGACGCUGCUACAGUGGAGAAUGCAAGACCAGAGAGAACCAGUGCAAAUACAUCUGGGGCUCAAAAGCUGCAGGCUCCGAGAAGUUCUGCUAUGAGAAACUGAACACAGAGGGGACAGAGAAGGGUAACUGCGGGAGGGACGGAGAGAAGUGGAUCCAGUGCAGCAAGCACGAUGUGUUCUGUGGGUACCUGCUCUGUGCCAACAUUGGGAGGGCCCCCCGCAUUGGUGUAAUGAAAGGAGACAUCACACCCACCUCCUUCAACCACCAGGGCAAGCUGGUGGACUGCAGCGGUGGGCACGUGCUCCUGGACGAUGAAACGGACCUGGGCUACGUAGAGGACGGGACGCCGUGUGGGCCGUCUAUGAUGUGCCUUGACCACAAGUGUCUGCCCAUCCAGUCCCUCAACAUAAGCGCCUGCCCCAGCGGCACCAACGGCCAGGUGUGCUCCGCCCACGGGGUGUGCAAUAAUGAGGCCACGUGCACCUGCGACGCCACCUGGGCGGGGACGGACUGCAGCAUGCCCGACCCUCCCAAGGAGCCCGCCCUCACUGUGGACGAGGGACCCAAGGGUUUGUCACCUUCGUUUCCAAGCACUGCUCAGGUCCACAGGUGCAGCCAAUCACAUCUCCUCGCAGUUAUGGGCUCGGUGACAUCCAGGUUCACGCCGUGCGGUCCACAGCCACACUAAUGUUGCUUUAACGGCAAUAUUAUACCUGAGACAUUCACCACAAGGCAGAUUAUUGGCCAUGGGCUGUUACAAGCCUGCCAGUCAUAGUGAAUUCCAUAUUUUGGAUAUGGGAAAAAUGUCUGUUUUGAGAUGGGAUCCAAAGACGAGAUGAGCGGAAUAACCUGUUGACCCGCUCACCUGUUUCCUUGCUGCUUAAUACUACUAUGGUCCCAGUGGGGCCUGUUUCCUCUCAAGCUCUAUUUUCCAGUCCAUUCUGAAUACACCAGGUAGCCCAUAGCACACAAUAUCUUAUAAUGGGCUGACCACACUGGAACGGAAUGCUUGUAUCCCAUAUUGAUAUGAUAAAACGCUCUUUUCUUGUAUUUAUUUGCAGUAGUGGUUCACAGGAAGUGGGGGAAGGCUGCAAGGAUUGUGUGUUCCUGAGAAGUGCUUCACAUGAGUGGGACAGGAAGGGGGAGGGAUCUGAGGGCGGGGAAUGUGAUGUCAGGACAACAAAUGUCCAAUCCCAGAGCAGGAAAGAACAACAGUAUUCAUUUAUGUUGGUUGGUGAUAAUGUUCUCUGUUGAAUGACCCUUUUCCUUCUGUGCAGUGAGCAUGGCCACUAACAGGCUGAUAGGGGCAGUAGCAGGGACCAUUCUGGCCCUAGGGGUGAUUUUUGGAGGCACAGGGUGGGGAAUAGAGUAAGCAUCUUUCUCCCUUUCACAGCUCUUCCUCUUGUAGUGAUGCCUCAGUGUGGGGGGGUCACAUGACCCAGCCUGUGCCCUUUGUGUCUGUGGCUUUGUCUUUUGUGGUGAGCGUAUUGGUGUCAUGUGAUUGGAUGUGUCAGUGUCACGUGAUGAUUUAAUGGAUUCAUAGAUUUGUUUUGCUAUUCUUAUUGUUCUUGUUAUUAUUAAUUGUGAUGAAGUGUCUAACCCUCUCCUUUCUGGGGCAUGUGGGGCAUACCCAAUUAAAACAGAGUGUGGAAUAGUGUUGAACAGUGGUGGCGCCCCCUUUCUGUGGGGGAACACCUGUCACUCUGUCUUAAACAUGCUAGAUGAUGAGCACUAUGAAGUGCACGUGCUCAAAAAAAAAAAAGACAACCUUUGCGCGAGUUGCAGCAAAAUGUUAUUCAUGCCCAACACGUGCUGUGUGGCUGAUCGUCUCAUCUGUGAGAACCUUUGUCCUACCAUUCCUUCUGUCUCCUUAUUGGUGGAAUUUGGUAGGGACAGUCCUUCUACUGUAUGUGUAAAAACCUGUUCGUCAACCUCCCCACCCUUUUCCAGAUCUCUGCCUAUGGAGGUGGACACAUGCUUUGUUUUCUGUUGUACCAUAUAAGCAAAGCAUUCUGUAUCACACAAAAAAUGUUCUCAAAGUGUGUUUGGUGUGGCAGCCAUGUCCAUUCACUGUAAGACACUCAUAAACCUGAUAGGUUUUUUGUAUACGGCUAUAUAGGGCAGCAGCCCUGCUGACAGGUGAUGGUUAUACCUUCCAGGCUGCAUGACUGCAGAAAGGUUGCCCCUCACUGUGCUGGGCAACAGUGAUACAACAAUGCUGCAAACAGAUUGCCCCUCACUGUGCUGGGCAACAGUGAUACAACAAUGCUGCAAACAGAUUGCCCCUCACUGUGCAGGGCAUCAGUGAUGCAACAAUGCUGCAGACAGGUUGCCCCUCACUGCGCAGGACAACAGUGAUGCAACAGUGCUGCAGACAGGUUGCCCCUCACUGUGCAGGACAACAGUGAUGCAACAAUGCUGCAGACAGGUUGCCCCUCACUGUGCAGGGCAACAGUGAUGCAACGAUGCUGCAGACAGAAUCUUUACAACGAGAGACAGCCUAGGAUAUGUAUCCAGUUACAACAGUUUCAACUUCAACUAGCAGGGGAAGGGUUGUUUUUUCAUACAAGAUAUAGCCUUUGAAGCUACGACUAUUUAUAUAAAUAGACAAUUUAUUUAAAUGCUGAAUGGAAUUAAUUUGGAUGUGGCUCAUCUCUUGUUUUUCCACAUGAAGAAUUUGUGUUUGAACUUUCAUGCAAAGAGAACCUACAUGUCACAGUGUUUCUCCCCAUAACCCUUCACAGGUCCUAGUGCCACCAAUCUUAUAAUAGGCUCCAUCGCGGGGGCCAUCCUGGUGGCUGCCAUUGUGCUGGGGGGGACAGGAUGGGGCUUUAAGUAAGCAACACGCUGCAUGUUUUUGCUUCCAUGACACUGGCAUCUCUGCUGCUUUUAGGAACCAGGGAUUGAGCUUCUGCUACAGAGAACAGCCAUUUGAGUUAGACUGACUAAAGAGAGAGAGAGGGCAAAUUUUACAGUCUCCACAUACAGGGAGCACAAGCUCUUCAUAAGCGCUGUCCUUAUAAAGAGAGUCUACACAUACACAGAUAGGGUGUAUGUGUAGACUCCCACCUCAUCUCAAAAGCAAAGCCUAUACCAACAGUAUGUCUACCGCCUGUGCAGAGUGCACAGGCACACACAUACACACACCACACAUGCGCAUAUGCACACACACACACACAUACACACACCACACAUGCGCAUAUGCACACACACACACACACACACACAUAUGCACACACACAGUCCACAGGUUAAGCCACACACCUGAGAAGUAUGGACUCUGGUGACCCUGCUAGUGCAAUGUUCCAUAAUGAACUCGGGGGAAGUGAGAAGAGGAGGAACACUCUGCUUCAUGAAGGAGAGAAGCUGUGAACCUUUAGCAGAACCUCAACUACCUGGGCUGGCCCUGCUCAAAGCCUGACAUGCAUGUGUGUUAAAAGAUUUUCUUCACCAAAUCAGGGAAUAUCAUCUCUGAGCAGAAGCCAGAGUGAGAGCAGGUUAUUUUAAGGCGUCAAUAUGGACAAAAUAUUGAUUGAAUAUUAAUGUGUGAUAUAAUUUUGGUCUGGUCAAGUUGAGUGUUGAGCAAGAAUGGGGCCCACUAAUACCUUGUCUAAAUGCAGCACAUUCCUUGCAAUGAUUAAUCAGUGGAUUAUAAAACCUUGAAAAUCCUAGUGGAAAUUUUAAUAAUUCUGGUGGACAUAUUGCAGGUGUAGGACAGGUAGAGACAGAAGGGAAUGUUAGAUAGGAAAAUAUUUUAAAGUAUUUUAGAGCUAGAGAGAAGGAUGGCAACUCAGCAUGACCAGGACGAGGCUGAAAGAGGGGUGGUGUUGGCCUACAUGAGAUGACCUAUUGUGCAGUAUGACUAUGAAGCUAUAUACAUGUGAAUGUAUACAUAAUGUGGCUGCAUUACCUCUCACCUUCUACUCACUCACAUCAGUUCACUGGCGAGUUUAUGCUCUGGUGCAGGAAGAUCCCAGCUUAACCGUCUCACUGAGCAUGUACACUGUGGUUACAACGCUGCCCCCAGUGGCCAGCCUGACAUACUGCGCCUCCAUCAGCGUCCGGUGUGGCAUUAUACAGCCGACCAAAACAAAGAGGGGGAAUCUAAAAAAAGCUUCGGACGUUUCCUUAAAAGCAAACUGCCGCAUGGAUUGCAAACUCGAGGUCUCGUCUCGCAAGAUAACGCUUGCAAUUUUGCGUGGCUUUUCUACUGAAUGGGGGAAAAGGUUACAAAAUUGACUUGGAGCUUAAAAAUCCUGCUGUCUCUAAAGCAUGUGGGUCGGCACAGCAUUGCGACUUACGGCAGCGGUAAGUUCCGUAUGCUGACUGGACCAAAGCUGGAGCUAAGAGGCGCCGGGGCAUCGCACAAAGGCUGUUCCCGACCGCGGAGCAGCACGCUGGGCCGGCUUUACUCGCCUACUGCAGCCAUUACCACCAUCUUUCUCUUGGUCCGAUUAUCGCUAGAGGGUGAGAGUUUUAUGCGGAGCGGUGGUGAGGGAAGCCACGCCCAGUUUGUUGGCUGCAGCCUUUGUGCCAUGGCUGGCCAAACCACGCCCGCCUGGACGGCCGAGCUCCGCCCCUUAGCGCAGAGCGGGAACUCCCGGAGCCGCCUGCCAGCUGCCAUUGGCUGCCUGCUUCACAGACCUGAAAUGUCAAGAAGAGAAGGUAUGACCCCAAUGCCAGUGCUAUUUAAAGGAGAAACGAAGAAGGCUAUCACAGGGAGAAUUAUUUCAUUAGUACUCUACAGCUGGACUGAACUUCCUCCUGCUGUUUUUGCCAUUUGUUUUACUUGAAAAAAAAAAAAAAGACAUUAUAACAAAACUUCCAUCUUAGGCAAAUAUAAUUCAGUCUCUUAAGCCCUCCAUCUGCUCCCAGCUCCACGAGUCCCCACCAAAACCGCCGCACCUGCUUUCUCGAAUGACGAAACUCCCCUUUCAGAAUCCCCAGCGUAGAGGGGUUUGGUAGGAUCCUGUACCAUCUUGUCACCAGGCAUGACUUCCUGUGCAGAGCUCUGACCCUGGCAUGAAGAGCCCUCACUGAAGGACUUUGCAUGGCUUUGCAAGCCGAGAACUCCAAAGCCAAUAAAAUAAAAACAUGGAUGUUUUUUUCUUUUCUUCAAAAAGAGGAGAAAGGCCUUGUAAAAAAAAAAAAAAAAAAAAAAAACCGGACAAGUGAUUCCCAGCAAACUGUCCUCAUCAUCACCCCCCACCCUGGAGAGGGAAGGUUUGAGGGGUUAUAGAAGGUCACUUGCCUGGACCUCCAUGCAGACAAUAUAUGAGUAUAGGUGAGAGUGUAUAUAAGUAAGACAAAUAGUUCAGCUACUGAAUUUUAACAUAUCAUUUUACACUGCAUUUUACAUAGCAUUUUACUUUUUAGCAUGUUGUAAAGAGACUUUUUUUAUUUGGCAAUGUUAAUGAAAAAAAUCCAAAAAACAAUUGUAAUUUCGGCCGAAAUAAUCAUGGUUUUUCACUUUUUAGCAUGUCGUAUAGCGGGUGUUUUUGGCUGUGUUAAUGAAAAACAAAAUGGAAUUGUCAUUUUGUUCAAAUAAUCUGUGAUUAACCAAAUGGCCAUGAAACAUAUAACCUGUUAGGAUGGUCGGCAGUAUUUUCAAACCUAUAAUUAUAUACUGGAAAUUCAGAAAACAAGGAAAUCAGGGUUCAGGAGUCAAGGGUCAUGGGUCUGCAUAAUGGCCAGGUUUUGGAGGAAAAUGUCUUAUAGAGGAGGAGGUGGAGGAUCAAGUGUUGGCAUGGGAACGGUAUGAAUUAUGUCACAAGGGUUGCUGAACGCAUCCCAGUAGUGAUGAAAAGCCAAAGAACUAACCGGUCAAGCGUGUGCGUGGCAUUGUUCAGAACACUCUCCUCACUCUGCAUUCUGUGCUGCUACCAACAGUUGCCAGCAGGUGGCAGUACUUUUGGCCUGUCUCUCUGUCUGAAGACACAGUGCCUCUCUGAUCAGGUCUCACUAACAGUCUUCAUUAACACCCACUAUACUGGCUUGGCCUUGUGUGCUCAUUAUCUCUUUUCUAGGAAGCAAGUUAAGGCUCUGCUGAUACGCUGCAUGCACAGUAUAUUGAUACUGGGCUUUUAAACUCUACAAGGGAGUCCCAAAUCUGCAAGAACAUGGUUCAAGAGAUAAGUGCAUGUCAACACUACAAUUUAACUUUAUUUACUAUGCAAAGAAAGGUAUUGCACAAACUUAUGGGUUAAUAUAAUACUGACAAACAAUGAUAAUAUGAUACUACUACCCGUGAGGUGAUCUUUUAUAUGCUUGGCCAGUCACACAUCUGUCCUUUUAUUUAACUGAAAUGAUCAAAUUGUCAUAACUGAAGAGAAAUAAUCAUUUACAUCUGUGGAGCAGAAGAAAAAAAAACCUGCUUUUUGCACUUGUCAACAAAGCUAGAGUGACUUUCUUUUCUUAUUUAACUUUUCCACUGUGGUACAAACAUGAGUUCUCAAAGCUCUGCUCUAGGGCACAGCUGACGGACAUGUGCUGCUGUGGCAGCCACUUGCUGUCAACUCUGUGUUAACUCCCCAUCUUGUGUGCUUCUACACUGCUUCGUGUUCAGAUGGAAGAUAUUGAUAAAUAAAUUACUGAACUAUUUUA